rnacentral:tmRNA from 1 species
GGGGGCGACAUGGUUUCGACGUCGGUUACAAACCCAAAGGUGCAUGUCGAGAGUGAUGCGUGAUCUCGUUAAUCCCCCGCAUCAAUUUUAUAGUCCAGCCUAAACCGCUGCUAGUGUGCUGCCCUCAGGUUGCUUGUAGCCAGAGAUUCUGCAGUAUCAUAAAUUACAAGAUGCUAACUGAUGCCCCGCCUAGGGAUAAGGUUAUAAGAUUAAGUAGGCUCGCCAUUAACACCCUGUCCUUCGGGCGGUUCGUGGUCAAAUAAUAGAAGUGACUAUGCAUGUAGAGCCGAUGGCAGAGGACUGACGGACGGGGGUUCGACCCCCCCCGCCUCCACCA